rnacentral:lncRNA from 1 species
AUGAAAAGCUCUGCACACCUCAGGUGGUCUCUAUAGGCCCACUUCACCAUGGAAAGGAAGGCUUGAAUGUCGUAUAGGAAGAGCACAAACAGAGAUACCUGCAAGAUUUUAUAGGUCGGACCAAUGUGAGUUUGGAGGAUUAUAUUAAGAAAAUAAAGGACCACGAAGCAAGAUUGAGACGUUGUUAUGGAGAACCCAUCAAGUUUAGCAGUGAUGAAUUUGUAACAAUCAUUCUAGUGGAUGCCGCCUUCGUUAUUGAGCUCUUAUUGAAGGACUACUUCAAAUUUUGGGAUGAAAAUGACCGCAUAUUUGACAAACCAGGUAUGUUGCAAGAUGUAUGGACAGAUAUGUGGUUGCUUGAAAAUCAGUUGCCAUUCUUCAUUCUCGAGGAUCUUUUCGACCCACAGAAAAUUACACUCCCUGCUAAUGCUGACAAUAACAGCAUUACUGAGGGGCUUUCAAUAAUUUAUAUUUCUUUCAGUUUCUUCGAACAUCUAUUGCCUGUUGACAAAUUGGAAGACAAUUUGGAGACUUUUAGAUCAAUGGCACAUAUUGUUGAUCUUUUCAGGAAAAUAUUUAAACUCUAUCAACCGUUGGAAUCAAAAGCUGGAGGGGAACUC